rnacentral:misc_RNA from 1 species
GUGUGUGAGGAUUUCCGAACGUCACGCAGCGCUGAGGGAUGCUGUUGACACACUGUGUGUAGAACCUUGGUCAGAACGCAAUGUUCCCAUCGUCGCUUCUCCUGCUGGUGCUGGUGCUGGCACUACCUGAGGGAGCGCCCUGUCCCGCACCUGGCCAGAAAUGUGCCGCUGCUGACAUUGCGGUGAAAGAAGGGGACGCCACUAUCGGCUUCUUUUCAUUGGAAACAGCGAAGGACAACAUUUUUGGGCGUCUCUACGCACGUCCUGAUGCCAGCUUUCAAGGAGUCACUGUUUCGGUUCAAGGAAUUCACGGGACAAGUGGAGUGUGGUUCCCUAUACCGAGCCAGUGCUUCCCUGACAGGUCGGCGUGGCACGAGGUGGAAGUGAGAAUGUGGAUAGAUAAAAAAAUUUCGACAUACUCGUAUGAAGGUUUUUUCGUAGCAGUUUUUGUGACAAGAGUUGAGGGAUGUUCGUUUGGAUGUUCGAUGAAUGUGGUCGACAACCAAUUCCACAGACUGGAAGUGUUGGCUCACGGCCCGUCCAGCUGGAGAAUGACCGCCCCUAAUGCUUCCUGCACCACAGUGAAGGUGCUCAGCCAGACUAACUUUCCUUUGAAAACUUGCCAAGGCUCUCCUUCCUCGAGGAAUCCAGUAAUGUGUCCCACCUCUGCGUCUCCCACGCGGUCCACACCUGCCGCCAUAUCUCAUGAAACACCUGCGCUGAUGCAUGUGCCAGUAGUGGUGGUGGUGGUGGUGGUGGUGGUGGUGGUGGUGGUGAUAAGUGUAGUUGUGGGGGUGAUGGUGGCGGUAAAAACUUCACUGGCACAAAGAACAACAGCAUCAUCCACCGCAGCCAGUGAGCCAGAGGCACCAAGGCGUUCCACGGCACCUCCUGCUGCAGCUCCCUCGCUCCCCAGUGACUGGCAUCUUGAAGCGCCGCGUGGCUGGCCCGUUGCGGCGCCCCGCCGCCCGCACUCCCCUGCGCGGCGCUGGCAGGACCCUGAGGAUGUGUACGAAGAAAUCUACUGUAACGCUGCCUGAAGACAUUCCGCUGAGCCGCCUGAAGUGCACAGGGACAGGUCUGCAUGCCGCCCUCGGGAACACUCCCUCCUACUAUGACCACCUCCCUCUCCUCUCCCCCUUCGCCCACCCCUCUUCCUCCUCCUCCUCCUACUCCUAUUCUUACUCCUUUACAUGUGCAUGGCUGUGUUGUUCAGCUGUGAAGGAAAUAAAUGUAAUUAUCAAGUUGUUAUAUACGUACAUGCAUGUAUGCACAGUGCAUCGAUUAUGAAGAAAAUUGAUAUACUUAAAAUGAUUUUUUCUAACAUAUAUUCCCUAAGUGAGUAUGUCUAUGAGUUAUAUUGAACGUGUUGUAUUGGUCUUAUAACAUACAGUUGUAUAUUUUCUAGUCAUCAUGUUCGCACUACUGUCGAUGUGCUUUUCGGUGUACUGCUGUGAUCAGCAUAAUGUUUUCACAAUGCAUUUUAUGUUCUUGCUUCCAGCAUUCAGGUCAGUGGUGGUCCGUAAUGUGCAUGGUGGAGCAAUGUUAGGCAAUCCUAUGUGUUUAACUGUAUACUUGUUAAAGUGUGACGAACGUCUGUAGCUGUAGCAGCUAUCCCAGACACGAGAGCAUCGACCACAAUGCUCUGGAGCCUGUACAUCUCUCUGUACCAGCUGUACAUAGUACUGUAUAUAAGAGAAGAAACCUCGAGGACUGUCACUCCCAUCAUCCACACAAAUCACAGUGGUGCCUCACGCUUGCUGCCCUCCACGUGGUUUCCGUCACCUGCACUGCCUGUCACUCUUGUAAACAACGGCGGUGAAAACUUUAUCGCAUUACUCAAUAAGGUCUGGUCUGAUUGUACAUUCCCUAAUAAAGCUUCCUGCUUAUUACUGCAUAAAAACCUUCAUUGUACGUUAUGUAGUGUUUCUUGCGGAGGAUUCUUAUGUAGGCGCCUCACUGUCUUGUUCCUCCUUGGAUUUGAUACUCUUUCUACAAAAUCUUUUAAUAACCAUUUUUUUUCCCCUUUACGUCGUUUGGUACCAGACUUACAACUCUCCCCUUCCUUCUCUCUCUCUCUCUCUCUCUCUCUCUCUCUCUC